GAAGACAUAGCUCAGUGGUAGAGCACAUGCUUAGCAUACACAAGGUCCUGGGUUCAAUCCCCAGUACCUCCA
rnacentral:tRNA from 1 species